rnacentral:tRNA from 1 species
UCCUGGUUAGCUCAGUUGGUAGAGCAUUGCACUGUAAAUGGAGAAGUCUUUGGUUCGAUACCAGGACCCGGUG